rnacentral:rRNA from 1 species
GUGUCAGCCGCCGCGGUAAAACCAGCACCUCAAGUGGUCAGGAUGAUUAUUGGGCCUAAAGCAUCCGUAGCCUGAUCUGUAAGUUUUCGGUUAAAUCUGUACGCUCAACGUACAGGCUGCCGGGAAUACUGCAGAUCUAGGGAGUGGGAGAGGUAGACGGUACUCGGGAGGAAGUGGUAAAAUGCUUUGAUCUCUCGAUGACCACCUGUGGCGAAGGCGGUCUACCAGAACACGUCCGACGGUGAGGGAUGAAAGCUGGGGGAGCAAACCGGAUUAGAUACCCGGGUAGUCCCAGCUGUAAACUAUGCAAACUCAGUGAUGCAUUGGCUUAUGGCCAAUGCAGUGUUGCAGGGAAGCCGUUAAGUUUGCCGCCUGGGAAGUACGUACGCAAGUAUGAAACUUAAAGGAAUUGGCGGGGGAGCACCACAAGGGGUGAAGCCUGCGGUUCAAUUGGAGUCAACGCCAGAAAUCUUACCCGGAGAGACAGCAGAAUGAAGGUCAAGCUGAAGACUUUACCAGACAAGCUGAGAGGUGGUGCAUGGCCGUCGCCAGCUCGUGCCGUGAGAUGUCCUGUUAAGUCAGGUAACGAGCGAGAUCCCUGCCUCUAGUUGCCACCAUUACUCUCAGGAGUAGUGGGGCGAAUUAGCGGGACCGCCGCAGUUAAUGCGGAGGAAGGAAGGGGCCACGGCAGGUCAGUAUGCCCCGAAACUCUGGGGCCACACGCGGGCUGCAAUGGUAAUGACAAUAGGUUCCGAAUCCGAAAGGAAGAGGUAAUCCCUAAACAUUACCACAGUUAUGACUGAGGGCUGCAACUCGCCCUCACGAAUAUGGAAUCCCUAGUAACUGCGUGUCAUUAUCGCGCGGUGAAUACGUCCCUGCUCCUUGCACACACCGCCCGUC